rnacentral:rRNA from 1 species
UACAGAGGGUGCGAGCGUUGUUCGGAAUUAUUGGGCGUAAAGCGCGUGUAGGCGGGAUGGCAAGUCGGGUGUGAAAGCCCUCAGCUCAACUGAGGAAGUGCGCCCGAAACUACUGUUCUUGAGUAUCGGAGAGGGUGGCGGAAUUCCCGGUGUAGAGGUGAAAUUCGUAGAUAUCGGAAGGAACAUCAGUGGCGAAAGCGGCUUCCUGGACCAGUACCGACGUCAGGCACGAAAGCGUGGGGAGCAAACAGG